rnacentral:SRP_RNA from 1 species
GCUGGUCAGGAUGGUGCAUAUCUGUUAUUCCAGCUACCAAGGAAGCUGAGACUGGUUGAUCUCAACCUCAGGAGUUCUGAGCUGCAGUGGACUAUGUAAAUCAGGUGUCUGCAAUAAAUUAGGCAUCCUUAUGGUUAGCUUAAAGGAAUGGCAGGCCACCAGAGUGCCUAAGGAAGGGUGCAAAAAACCCCAGACUGGAAACAGAGCAGGUCAAAAUUCCUAUGAUAAAGUAGUAGGAUUGGGCCUGUGAGGAGAUCUGGCAUUUACAGGGUGAGUGAAUUUGGGGAGACAGAUUUUU